GAUGAACGCUGGCGGCGUGCCUAAUACAUGCAAGUCGAGCGAACAGACGAGUGGUUUGCUCCUCUGACGUUAGCGGCGGACGGGUGAGUAACACGUGGAUAACCUACCUAUAAGACUGGGAUAACUUCGGGAAACCGGAGAUAAUACAGGAUAAUAUAUUGAUCCGCAUGGUUCAAUAAUGAAAUACGGUUUUGCUGUCACUUAUAGAUGGAUCCGCGCCUAAUUAGCUAGUUGGUAAGGUAACGGCUUACCAAGGCAACGAUGCGUAGCCGACCUGAGAGGGUGAUCGCCCACACUGGAACUGAGACACGGUCCAUGCUCCUACGGUAGGCAGCAGUAGGGAAUCUGCCGCAAUGGGCGAAAGCUUUACGGAGCAACGCCGCGUGAGUUAUGAAGGUCUUCGGAUCGUAAAACUCUGUUAUUAGGGAAGAACAAAUGUGUAAGUAACUAUGCACGUCUUGACGGUACCUAAUCAGAAAGCCACGGCUAACUACGUG
rnacentral:rRNA from 1 species